UGUGGCCCCACGGCCUGUUUAGAGCUUGCUUUGCUGUGCUCCACUGCAGUGCCCGCAGUGCCAGCAGCAGCCAGUGUGCCAGGUACAGAGGGGAUGGGACUGACUCCCCCUGGGAGAGGUGACCCUUCAGGGGAAGCCUGUGACCAUAAUGAAAGCAAGUGGCUGAAGAGGUGUGGGCUUCUAGGGCAGCCUGCCCCUCGCCUGGUACCACCCGCGGGAGUGACCUGCUGUGCUCUCCUCGGCCAACUCUAUUCCUGUUAUCUUCUCUUCAGAGAUGGGCUUGGACGGUUUGAGUGCUUUGCCUAGGGCUGCACAGCUCUGAGCUGUCUGAGCUGGAACCUGAACCCGGCCUGCGUUCUAAAGGUGCCAGCAUGUCUUGGCAGUUGCGCGCAGUCCCCUGUGGACCUGUGUGCGCAGCUGGAUUGACAGCUGAAGUGUUGCGUGUGACUAAACCAUGAGGUUGGUCUCCUUGUUUUAUAGUGGGCCCCAGGUCACCUCCACCUCUCCCAGGUGUGUUGUCAGACAAUUUAGUGAUUUUGGUUUUUCAAGACAGGGUUUCUUUGUGUAACAGUCCUGGCUGUCCUGGAACUUGUUUUGCAGACCAGGCUGGCCUUGCAGUCAGAGAUCCGCCUGCCUCUGCCUCCAGAGUGCUGGGAUUAAAGGCGUGAGGUUUAUUUAUUUAUUUAUUUAUUUAUUUAUUUAUUUAUUUAUUUUUGUUUGUGCUCUGCUUGUCAGCAGAGGGCAUCAGAUCCUAUUGCAGGAUGGUUGUGAGCCACCAUGUGGUUGCUGGGAAUUGAACUCAGGACUCUUAAUGGCUGAGCCCUCUCUCCAGCUUGAUUUAUUUAUUAUGUACAGUGUUCUGUCUGUAUGUGGGCCUGCAGGCCAGAAGAGGGCGCCAGAUCUCAUUACAGAUGGUUGUGAGCCACCAUGUGGUUGCUGGGAAUUGAACUCAUCACCUCUGGAAGAGCAGCCAGUGCUCUUAAUCACUGAACCAUCUCUCUAGCCGAGAAUUAUUUAAUUGUAUGUGUAUGCAUGUGUGUGUCUGUCUGUGUCUCUGCCUGUGGGUAUGUGCUUGUAAAUUUGGUGCCCAUGGAGGUCAGCAAGGGUGUCACCUCUUGUCAUUGGAGUUUCAGACUGUUGUAGAUUGCCUGAUGUGGGUGCUGGGAAUUGAACUCGGGACCUCUGGAUGAGUGGAAGAUCAGUACAUGAGCCAUGGUCAUGGUUUACUUUUCUUUUCUUUCUUUCUUUCUUUCUUUCUUUCUUUCUUUCUUUCUUUCUUUUUUUUGAGAUAGGGUCGCACCAUAUAGCUUGGAAUUCAUGUGGACCAUGUUGGUCUUGAACAGUUACGAUUUGCUUUAGUGUGAAUGUUAUAACUGACGUGCCCAGGUGACAAUGCCUGUAGGAUCAGUUUUCCACAAGUUCAGGAGUUUGGGGAAGCAGAUCCCAGGCCAAGGAGCUGCAUGUGACAGACCCAUGCCUUCCUCAGGAGCUUCCUUCCUUGGCCUUGUCCCUAACCCUUUCUUUCUUUUUUUCUGCAACUGAGGACUGAACUCAGGGCCUUGCACCUGUUAGGCAAGCACUCUACCUCUGAGCUAAAUCCUGAGCCCUCCCGACCAUUUUCUUGACGGCAUCUCUGCAGUGGCUUACUCUGGUAGAGUGUGGACUUCGGCCUCUCAUCCCAGCCACAGGAGAGCCUGGUCUGCACGCAGGGGGUUGCGUCCUUGGCUCUCCCAGGAGGGCUGCCUACUGGAGAGUCUGCCCAGGCUUUGCCUUGCUGUCAUUUCACUUUUUAUAUUUUGGUUUACUUACUUAUUUUUGACAGUUUAAGCAGAAGUUUAUUUAACAAAGCAAAUGUUCCAAAGACAGAUUGGAGUAGGCUGUCCCAAGGCAGAGUGCCCCCUUUUUUUUUCCAGAAGAAGAAAAAGAACAACAGGAUCUCACUGUAUCGCUCUGGUAAUUCUGGCUAGUCUGGAACUCACUGUGCAGAUCAGGCUGGCCUUGAAUUUAGAGACUGACCUACUUCUGUAGCCCAGGCUGACUUCAAAGUCUUGGCACUCCACCUGCCUCAGCCUCCUGAAUAAUAUUGGGGUAGCAGGCUUGCAUCACCACACUGGUAGGUCUCUGCUCCUGGUGUCUCUGUCUGGUCUGUAUGACUGGGAUCUCUUGCUAUGUGGCCUUUGGGGGCCUUCAGCAUUUCCACACUCUUGCACGUCAGCGGCAGUGGGUGUGUGUUCCUGAAGGCUUUUUGCAGGGCUAGGCUUUUGCUUUGGUUCAGUCAUGGGAUCAGGAGGUGUGGAGUUUUACACCAGAGUUUUGAUACCCCGCUGCUAGGCAACCGCCCCCCCCCCAUCCAUUGGGACUGGACCAUCUCCUUUGCUGCUCCCACCUGCUAGGAAAGACUCCAAAUCAAGAUUCCAAAAAAGCCUUGAUUUGGGGAGAUAGGGAGUGAAGCCAGCCAUGUUGGUUGGCCCACAUCUGCAAUCCCAGCACGAGGCUGAAGCAGGAUUGCCAUGAGUUUGAGGCUAGACUGGGGUAUAUAUUGAGACACUGCCUGAAAAGCUCUUUCCCCACCUGGUGUCUAACAGCCCACAAUAAGAUUGGCAUGCCAGCCUUCUUUUUUUUUUAAAUAUUUAUUUAUUAUGUAUAAUAAUAUUCUGUCUGCAUGCAUGGAGGCUGAACACUGUGUACAUAAUAAAUAAAUCUUAAAAAAAA